rnacentral:rRNA from 1 species
CACGUAGGGUGCGAGCGUUGUCCGGAAUUAUUGGGCGUAAAGAGCUCGUAGGCGGUUUGUUGCGUCGGCUGUGAAAUCCCGAGGCUCAACCUCGGGUCUGCAGUCGAUACGGGCGGACUGGAGUUCGGCAGGGGAGACUGGAAUUCCUGGUGUAGCGGUGAAAUGCGCAGAUAUCAGGAGGAACACCGGUGGCGAAGGCGGGUCUCUGGGCCGAUACUGACGCUGAGGAGCGAAAGCGUGGGGAGCGAACAGG